rnacentral:lncRNA from 1 species
AAAGAUAUAUGCAUAUUAGAAAGUAUGAUACCUGUAAAUAUAUGAAAAAAAAUACUGCAUUAGAUAAUAAAUGACAACAUUUUGAAAGCAUGUUAUCCAACACUUGCUUAUGACUGUGUAUGAGCAAUACUUGAAAAGGGUCGAUGCCACUACUUUGAGAGGUUUUAUUCCCCGAGGGUAUCAUUAGCCCGGAAGACAGCACUUCUAUAUUGAUAGAUAUAGGAAGAUGUGGUGUGAGUGCCAAUGAGACAACUCUCCAUCCAAAUAACAAUUUAAAAAGUAAACCAUUAUAGGUUAAAGUACGGCCUUCAACACGGAGCCUUGGCUCACACCGAACAACAAGCUAUAAAGGGCCCCAAAAUUACUAGUGUAAAACCAUUCAA